rnacentral:tRNA from 1 species
GGAGCUGUGGCUUAAGUGGUAAAGCACUGGCCUCCUUGAGCACAAAAGCUCAGGGAGAGUGCCCAGGUUUUGAGUUCAAGCUCCAGCUCCA